rnacentral:rRNA from 1 species
AUUGAACGCUGGCGGCAGGCUUAACACAUGCAAGUCGAGCGGGGUGAUGGUGCUUGCACUAUCACUUAGCGGCGGACGGGUGAGUAAUGCUUAGGAAUCUGCCUAUUAGUGGGGGACAACAUCUCGAAAGGGAUGCUAAUACCGCAUACGUCCUACGGGAGAAAGCAGGGGAUCACUUGUGACCUUGCGCUAAUAGAUGAGCCUAAGUCGGAUUAGCUAGUUGGUGGGGUAAAGGCCUACCAAGGCGACGAUCAGUAGCUGGUCUGAGAGGACGAUCAGCCACACUGGGACUGAGACACGGCCCAGACUCCUACGGGAGGCAGCAGUGGGGAAUUUUGGACAAUGGGCGAGAGACUGAUCCAGCAAUGCCGCGUGUGUGAAGAAGGCCUUCGGGUUGUAAAGCACUUUUGUCCGGAAAGAAAUGGCUCUGGUUAAUACCUGGGGUCGAUGACGGUACCGGAAGAAUAAGGACCGGCUAACUACGUGCCAGCAGCCGCGGUAA